CAGCCGCCACGGUAAUACGUAGGGUGCAAGCGUUAAUCGGAAUUACUGGGCGUAAAGCGUGCGCAGGCGGUUAUAUAAGACAGAUGUGAAAUCCCCGGGCUCAACCUGGGAACUGCAUUUGUGACUGUAUAGCUAGAGUACGGCAGAGGGGGAUGGAAUUCCGCGUGUAGCAGUGAAAUGCGUAGAUAUGCGGAGGAACACCGAUGGCGAAGGCAAUCCCCUGGGCCUGUACUGACGCUCAUGCACGAAAGCGUGGGGAGCAAACAGGAUUAGAUACCCGGGUAGUCCCUGUCUCUUAUAC
rnacentral:rRNA from 1 species